rnacentral:rRNA from 1 species
UACGGAAGAUGCGAGCGUUAUCCGGAUUUAUUGGGUUUAAAGGGAGCGUAGGCGGAAGAUUAAGUCAGCCGUGAAAUCCCGUCGCUUAACGACGGAACUGCGGUUGAUACUGGUUUUCUUGAGUGCACAUAAGGAAGGUGGAAUUUGUGGUGUAGCGGUGAAAUGCUUAGAUAUCACGAAGAACUCCGAUUGCGAAGGCAGCCUUCUGGGGUGCAACUGACGCUGAGGCUCGAAAGUGCGGGUAU